GACUGCUGCGGUGGCCUAAAAGGUUUUAGUGUCUCCCUUGGAUGGGGUAGAUCGCGGGUUCAAGCCCCGGUCGAGUCA